CCCCCCCCCCCCACAUAAGCACGCACCCGCACCCACGUAGGGCCUUGUGGUCGGGUCACCUACCCUGAGUUUUCACCCGAGGGCCCCCUCGGGGGGUUACCCCACGGUUUCUCAGGGCCAGGGAAUUGGACAGGACCCUUCCCAGGCUGAGUAACACUGCGGCGCCGUGGGCGGAUUUGAGAUCGCACGACCACGGCGAGCUCAGAGAGCCCCGCAGUUAGAAACGCAUACAAACACAAACACGGGUCAGCAAGGCAGAUAGCUAGGAUCAGGACCCGGGGCUGCUGCUUAGCAAAAAGGUCAAAGGCUGGCGGGAUCGCAAAAGGGCGGGAAAUCCUAGGCUCAGGAUUGGUCGAGAGACCAAGGCGGUCGGGACGGGGGCGCCUAGCCUUUGAUGUGGAUAGUUUAAAAGAAAACGCAGGGGCAGUAGGGGACUCUCUUCUUCUGGAGUAGUGACACGGGGUCAACGACGAGGGAGUCAUCGGGCGAGCUGCAGGAUCGUCUGCAGGACGACCUGAGCGCCGCAAGGUCACCUAGGACUACAGACGAUGUGAUUCGCGGAGAGCCAAAAUCGCGGACAGCAGGCUCAACAAAACAAAAGCGUGUUGUUGGGAGCCGCAUAAAGCCCGGUUAAGUAUCUUGGGAACUACAAAUGCACAGAAAACACCAGCGUCCCCCACCAUCCUCGGAGCAUCUCGGUCACCCGACAUCAAACCAAGUGAUCGACCGUUCUACUGCCCUUCCAUCAUGGAGCCAACGAACAUUUUGCAUUCCGCAAUCGUAUUCAAAUCCAAAGAGUCUCCCUGCCCAAACGAGCAACGGGCAACGGGCAACGGGGGCCGAUGCUUAUCUCCACCGGUUGCCCGAAAGCCACGGAUCGAAAAACCCCACAUUCCACGAGCCGAGAAAAGUUUCUCGUCGCCGCGGACGACAACCGCCACUGCGUGAGUUUUCGCGGUACAUCGAAAUUAAUUCGGUUCUCGAAGGAGCCUCCCAGCGCGCGGAGUGAAGCGGCGAACGUCGCGCCGAACAGCGCCGCGGCACGACCCGACAACCGCUCGCUUUGCUAACAAAUUUCCCCUCCAUCGUCGGCCGCCUUCGCUCCCCCGGAGAGUAGCGGUCCACGCUGAGCACAAGUCCAGGUGUUUGACGUGGGCCCUCAACAGCGGACCCACCUCGACUGAGGUCCGCACCCCCCCCCCCCCUCACCGGAGUCGGCUCCAGCAGCGCGGUAGUGCGGGGGGGAUGGUGGUGCCAGGUGCUCUGGGGCGAUCGGCCGAGGGCAUCCGACCCGGGGCAACGUGGUCCGAAGAGGCGAACUCUCCCUGACCGUCGCUGUUCGACGACGCACCUCGCCGUUGGUGACGAGCUUUGCUCACGUGGAUGCGGCAGACGCCACUGAUCGAAUACAAAUUGGUGCUCUAAUAUAUCGACCGUGGAGUGAUGCUGGGCUGAGCCGACCCCCCCCCUCCUCUCCUCCCCCGCCACAUCCCAGAGCUCUCUGAUUGUAAGUCGUCAGAUGCUCUGACCACAGUGCCACAACAUCAUUGUUUUUUAUGAGAAAAUACGAAGGCACGGAUUCACCGAAAUAAUUUUGUCUUUUUUUCCCCCCUGCUGUUGCGAAAAAGGUCACACACUUUCACUCUUCUGUCCCACGUUGUUCAAAGCAGUAAACCUUGACAGAACAGAUGGCGAGUUCUCUGCGGGAGUUUUUUUUUAACCCGAUCCUGCCCAUUCGGUCACUCCACGUUUACGGGAUGUAACCAGCGCGUCGUGCGAGUGCCUCGCUGCUCUCUUCCCCGCCCCCCCUGCCCAAUCAUUGUGGCGUUUCCGACAUUGUGAACAAACGGCUCAUGGUGCAUGCCUAAAUUGACGGAAAUGUCACAAGUUCUGUGAACAAAGACUUCAUUUUCUGUUGCGCACGUUUCCGUGAUAUUUUUGCACUUGAAGUUUUCUCCCACAGCCAUGUGGUUUAUUUAUCCAGUGAGGCAUCGUAUAUAUAUAUCAGUAUCCAAAUCUUAUUUGUAAAACACAGUAUCUACAAAUGAAAUAUAUG